rnacentral:rRNA from 1 species
GCCAGACUCCUACGGGAGGCAGCAGUGGGGAAUAUUGCACAAUGGGCGCAAGCCUGAUGCAGCGACGCCGCGUGAGCGAAGAAGUAUUUCGGUAUGUAAAGCUCUAUCAGCAGGGAAGAAAAUGACGGUACCUGACUAAGAAGCUCCGGCUAAAUACGUGCCAGCAGCCGCGGUAAUACGUAUGGAGCAAGCGUUAUCCGGAAUUACUGGGUGUAAAGGGAGCGUAGACGGCGACGCAAGUCUGGAGUGAAAGCCCGGGGCCCAACCCCGGGACUGCUCUGGAAACUGCGUCGCUGGAGUACGGGAGGGGCAGGCGGAAUUCCUGGUGUAGCGGUGAAAUGCGUAGAUAUCAGGAGGAACACCGGCGGCGAAGGCGGCCUGCUGGACCGUGACUGACGUUGAGGCUCGAGAGCGUGGGGAGCAAACAGGAUUAGAUACCCGGGUAA